rnacentral:rRNA from 1 species
UACAGAGGUCUCAAGCGUUAUUCGGAUUCACUGGGCGUAAAGGGUGCGCAGGCGGCCGUGUGUGUGAGGCGUGAAAGCCCGGGGCUUAACCCCGGAAUUGCACCUCAAACUACAUGGCUAGAGCAUUGGAGAGGGUAGCAGAAUUCAUGGUGUAGCAGUGAAAUGCGUAGAUAUCAUGAGGAAUACCAGAGGCGAAGGCGGCUACCUGGACAAUUGCUGACGCUCAGGCACGAAAGCGUGGGGAGCAAAAGGG